AUAGCGUAUAUUUAAGUUGUUGCAGUUAAAAAGCUCGUAGUUGGAUCUUGGGUCGGGGGGAGCGGUCCGCCCCUCGUGGGUGUGCACUGGUCCACCCGACCUUUCUGCCGGGGACACGCUCCUGGCCUUCGCUGGUCGGGACGCGGAGUCGGCGAUGUUACUUUGAAAAAAUUAGAGUGCUCAAAGCAAGCCUAUGCUCUGAAUACAUUAGCAUGGAAUAACGUGAUAGGACUCUGGUCCUGUUGUGUUGGUCUUCGGGACCGGAGUAAUGAUUAAUAGGGACAGUUGGGGGCAUUCGUAUUUCAUUGUCAGAGGUGAAAUUCUUGGAUUUAUGAAAGACGAACUUCUG
rnacentral:rRNA from 1 species